UAAAAUAAUAUCUCAAGAAUAAAAUAAAUUUUAACUGAAGUGUAAGGAAUAUUAAAAAAUAUUUGUGUAUAAAACUUAAUGUUUAAGGUUAUUGGUAUAAAAAUACAGCACUGAUUAAGCUAACAUUUCAACUUUCAAGGUCAUUUCAAAGCCAUAGUAUGAUAGUAGUAUAUAUAUAAUGCGUCUUAACAUCAGGUACAACAGUAUGAAAUCGAAAAUACGUAGUGUCAUUUACAGAAAUCAAAUUUGAUAUUGGAAAGCAAACAUCAACAUUGUUACAAGAGAGAAUUAAUCCCAAGACGUUCCUUGGUGAACAGUAUUACACAUGCUCGCAGUCAAGGAAGUCAGUUCAAGCUGUGAAAUACCGAAAUGGAUAUUUAUUAUCAGAACGGUAUUUAUUUAAGGAAGUUCGACGCUUGAAGAAGACAUGAAUAAUUCAUAAUUUAAAAUAAAAUGUAACAUAUUCUAAUACCAAUUAAACAUGGAAGGUUCACUACAGGAAAUUACAGAAAAAAUAAGAUACAAAUGGCUUUCUAAUAAAACGUUGAAGUAUCAUUUAAACAACUUCGGCCCGGAAAAGAAUAUUCGUAAAUCAAAAGAAAUAUUUUUCAUUAAACACUCAUCAUAAAAGACAAAUUUUUCAAGAAAAAAUUCAAUUUUUGUUCGUACAUCUUUAUUAUAUUAAACAAAUUUUGCACUACAUAUGAAAAAUGAAGUCGCGUCAUAGUACAGAACAAGAAGGAAGGGAAUAUUUGAUACAAUAAAGACAAUGCCUUAAUUUCAUUUGAACUGUGAAAUGUAUAUAAUUAUAUAGUAAAUUAUUUAUUAGUACCUUCCUUUUUAAUAUAAAAAUUCAUGAUACAUGUUCCU